rnacentral:rRNA from 1 species
CAUGCAAGUCGAGGGGCAGCGCGAGGUAGCAAUACUUUGGCGGCGACCGGCGCACGGGUGCGUAACACGUAUGUAACUUACCUCUUACAAUCGGAUAACACGGUGAAAGUCGUGCUAAUACGGUAUAGUUUCGCAAGCUCGCAUGGGCAUGCGAAUAAAGAUUCAUCGGUAGGAGAUAGACAUGCGGUCCAUUAGAUAGUUGGUGAGGUAACGGCUCACCAAGUCGACGAUGGAUAGGGGGACUGAGAGGUUGACCCCCCACACUGGUACUGAGACACGGACCAGACUCCUACGGGAGGCAGCAGUGAGGAAUAUUGGUCAAUGGGCGAGAGCCUGAACCAGCCAAGUCGCGUGAAGGAAGACGGUUCAUAAGGAUUGUAAACUUCUUUUGCAGAGGUGUAACGGUAGGCACGUGUGCCUGUGUGAACGUACUCUGCGAAUAAGUAUCGGCUAACUCCGUGCCAGCAGCCGCGGUAAUACGGAGGAUACGAGCGUUAUCCGGAAUUAUUGGGUUUAAAGGGUGCGUAGGUGGCUAUUUAAGUCAGGGGUGAAAAGCAUGAGCUCAACUCAUGUCUUGCCUUUGAAACUGGACAGCUAGAGAAAAGACGAGGUAUGUGGAAUGUGUGGUGUAGCGGUGAAAUGCAUAGAUAUCACACAGAACUCCGAUUGCGCAGGCAGCGUACC